rnacentral:rRNA from 1 species
UACGUAGGGUGCGAGCGUUGUCCGGAAUUAUUGGGCGUAAAGAGCUUGUAGGCGGUUUGUCGCGUCUUCUGUGAAAAUCCGGGGCUCAACCCCGGACUUGCAGUGGGUACGGGCAGACUAGAGUGUGGUAGGGGAGACUGGAAUUCCUGGUGUAGCGGUGAAAUGCGCAGAUAUCAGGAGGAACACCGGUGGCGAAGGCGGGUCUCUGGGCCGAUACUGACGCUGAGGAGCGAAAGCGUGGGGAGCGAACAGG